rnacentral:lncRNA from 10 species
CACACAGCCUAUGGAAGUAUGCUAAUGAUCCUGAAAAGCUCAUUGACUCUUUUCAAGCAUGGUGAUGAGGUCGUGGGAAGAAGAGCAAAGACGGAGUCUCGCUGUGUUGUCCAGGAUGGAGUGCAGUGGUGCUUUCUCAGCUCACUGCAACCUCUGCCUCCCAGUUCAAGCAAUUCUUCUGACUCAGCCUCCUGAGUAGCUGGGAUUACAGGCACCUGCUACCACACCAUGCUAAUUUUUGUAUUUUUAGUAGAGACGGGGUUUCUCCAUGUUGGCCUGGCUGGUCUCGAACUCCUGACCUCAGGUGAUCCACCUGCCUCGGCCUCUCAAAAUGCUAGGAUUACAGGUGUGAGCCACCACACCUGGCCAACUUAUCCUUUUUUUAACAUCUAGUUUUCUGUGAGUGUUUUCUAAUGUGCACUGUAGACGGACAUAGUGGUAUGUGAUUACUAUUCAUAGAUAAAUAAUAAUUUGUUUAUUAUUGUGUAAUAAACAUUGUGUGAUAAAGAAUUUGGCUGACCUUUGUUUCUGGUUCUUGAGAGGUAAUCUUUCAACCCAUGGAGUUUCCCAAGUGAUUGGAGUGUCUUUGUUCUUCAAGGUGGGCCCCAUAGAGCAUAUUUGAUGGUUUAUGCUAAUGUGAUGACUCAGGAUGGAAGCCGGCCAUGUUAGGAAGACCAAAGACAUGAUGAGAUGGUUGGGACUUUGAGCCAGGUGGCAUCA